UGCGCAGGCGGACUUUUAAGUCAGUGGUGAAAUCCCGAGGCUCAACCUCGGAACUGCCAUUGAUACUGGAAGUCUUGAAUUUGGUUGAAGUGGGCGGAAUGUAGCAUGUAGCGGUGAAAUGCUUAGAUAUGCUACAGAACACCGAUCGCGAAGGCAGCUCACUAAGCCAAUAUUGACGCUCAGGCACGAAAGCGUGGGGAGCAAACAGGAUUAGAUACCUGGUAGUC
rnacentral:rRNA from 1 species